rnacentral:pre_miRNA from 1 species
AACUUUUUGAGUCGGUGCUGAGAUUUCGUCAGACAUCGACCCAUUAGGGUUGAUCGAACUUCUAAGAUAAGUGAAGUU